GCCUCGCUCUGCCAAUUAGCCUUGAUGUCUAGUUGCUACAUGAAGGCGCUUAUCUCAUGUAAAUUAAACGCUGCCUUAACACUGACUCUUACUUCCUUUCUCUUUCGUCAGGCUUUUGGGCUGCCCUGCCAGGCAGGGGUGAAGGGCAGGUCAGGCAGGAGGCACGAGCAUCCCUCGCCUCCCUCCAGCCCGAUCCCCCUGUGCCUCGUCAGGACAGAGGGAAACGAGGUGAAGCCUUCGGCCACGUCAGCCAAACGAGCUGCUCUAACUAGCCAAGCUGGGUGCUAAUUAGUCUGCCCGUCAAUUCAUCGACCCAGCACCCAGGCCUCCUGUGGCAGGGGGGUGGAAGUGGAUGAGCUUCAAGGCCCCUUCCAACCCGAGCUUCUCUGUGAUUUUGUGGUUUCUCCUUCCAGCUGGGGUCUUCUGGGAUUCAUGGAGGGGGAGCCUUUUGGCAGAAUAAGAGAUAAUCUGCGAUGCUCUGCAGCAGGCUCCUGUGUGCGGCACUACAGGAAAAUCCUAAAUUCCCUUUCCUGCUCAUGCAUACAAAGCAGGAAGAACGAACAUGGCUGCAGACUGCUGCUGUUUUCAGAUGAUUUAGCCAAGGAGAAAAGAACCGGGUGGCUGAAAGGAAGAGCACUGGGUGGGAAACAACCCCGGAGCACGGCUCCAGCUGAUGGCACGCGAGGUGUCCAGCGUCCCGAGAUGCCCCCGCUCCCAGAAACGUCAGCUGCCAGAGCAGGCAGCAGGGGACAGUGAGGAAAAGCAGAGCAUGCAGGCUCUGAUGGAGGAGAGAUUUCCUCCUCAGAGCCGGGUGCUCCCUUCUGCGCCCGGUUCCAGCACAGGGAAAGUUCCCCCUGUCCAAUUUAGGGCUGCUGUUUGGCGCUGUGGCGGCGAGCCAGGAAUCCGG